GAUGUCUUUAAAAAAAAUGAAAAAAAAUGAUCAAUAAAAUAAAAAAUAGAAUCCAAUGCUCAUUUUAUCUCUUGGGAUGCGAAAGAAUUAAACGGGUAAGAAAAUAUUAAUCAUGCUAUAUAUUUUGAUAUAUGUCAUGUGUCGGCACUUGCAAUUUUAUAAACCUCUUUCUAACAUGUGGAGCAUUUAAUCUGAAAUUUUUCGUGCACAAAAUGUCACAGUACAUAUAAAUUUCUAUGCAGAACUAAAUACGAUUUACAAAUAUGAUCUACAAAACUGAACUUUAUUAUGUUUACCAGAUACCGGUGGUAUUGAUCAACAGCAACAUCACCAUUGCUUUCGUCAGAUAUACUACCUGCUAAUAUAUGGACUUAGGAAAGUUGAAGCUUGAACAGAAAAAAAAUGUAAAAGUAAAAGAAAAUCAGAAUUAGAAUACAGAAACUGAUUUUGAGGUGAUAAUCUGAUCACCUGGUUUGCGAGAUAGAUUAAGGAAAUAGUGAUCGGUGAUAUUAGAUUUCAUAUUAAAACUAAUUGACAUUAAUUAGAGUUGUUCAACAGAUAUAUAAACUGCACUUAAAAAAUGAGACAAUUGAUGUGGGACUUAAGUAUUUUUCAACAGGUGAACAUACAAGAAACAGAGAUAAACAUGCAUGAUGAAGAGGAUGAGAAAUUAAACCUGGUAAGAAGAGAAGCAGUGCCAAAAAGAAAAGGUGGAAAUUGAUGUAAUCCCUGUGAGUGAGAUUAGUGUCAGAGAGCAUAUGAAGAAGAACAAGAGUAGUGUCUGCAUAGCCACACCACACCUUUCUGAGAUGUACAAAACCCCCCAUUGCAUUGUUCUGAAUGUCAACAAUGGAGUGUUCCUAUUCGUACACUUGUACUGUACAUAUGCUAACAGAGUUCAGACAACUUGCUAAGCCAAAAUGGAUGGAGAAAGGAACCAAACCAACAAUCCCACCACCGAAAAGGUGCAUGAUAAAAUUGACAGAAAAUACUAAAAUAAUU
rnacentral:lncRNA from 1 species